rnacentral:lncRNA from 1 species
ACCCCAUCCCCUGGUCCUGCUCUGGAACCUGAAGCCUCCUACCUUGCAGUCUGGAUUCCAAGGAGGCCUCAUAAGCCCACUCCCGCCUCUGGCCCUGGGUGCCCUGGGUGCCCUGGGCUCUACACCCCGACAUCUGGCAGCCCCCACCUCACCUUUCCAGGAAGGCAGCAUCAACGUAAGGGGUGAGGGUGUAGGGAGAGGGGACAAGGAGCUCGGGGUUUGGGGGAAGCAGGAAGGCAGGGACCCCCGGCAGCCCUGGGAAGGGUGGGAGAGGGCAGGACCUGAGUUUGGAAGGAGGGGUUCUGACCCUGCCCCUUCCCUAGUCCUUCCUUACUUGGUUUCUUGUUGGGGGUGGGGGAGGGAGGCUUCUAGCCUCAGAAGGAUGCGGGUUUGAAUCCUGACCCUGCAAAAUACCAACCGGAAAGCCGCCCCAAGUCCCCUGGUGUUUCUCAACGAAGGGUGGCCCUGCCCCACCCCACGAGCAUUUGGAAAUGCCCAGGUCCAUUGCCAUGGUCAAAUGACCAGGGGACGUCACUGGCAUUCAUGGGCCAGGGGCCCAGAAGACCCCGCCGUAGGAGGGACGGCGUCUCACAAAGCAGAAUUGCCCUGCUCAUGUGCCAACAGCACCCUGGCCAAGCAAUACCCAUUUUUAACCUCCCCGAGACCGAGUUUCCUCAUUUGGGUAAAAUAGAAAUAAUUGUCAUUAUAUCUUCAUCAUAGAGCAGUUAUGAGCCUCGAUGGGAAUCCUGUACCCGAAAUGCUUGGAGGUACCUGGAAGCACAGUUGACCCUCAGGAAAGUGUGCAGUAGCACAGCUUGUGGGGGGCAGGGACACGUGAUUCUGGAAUAGGGACCUCAAUUGGCUCUGUUUCUCACCCAGAACUUGGCUUUUUUCUUCUACCAUUCAAGGCUCAGGACAGGAGUUCCCUUUGAGGCUCAGUGGGUUAAGAACCUGACAUAGUGUUCGUGAGGAUGAAGGCUCCAUCUCUGGCUUCGCUCGGUGUGUUAAGGAUCCAGUGUUGCCAUGAGCUGUGGUGUAGGUUGUAGAGGCAGCUCAGAUCCUGUGUGGCUGUGGCUGUGGUGCAGGCUGGCAGCUGUAGCUCCAACUGGACCCCCAGUCUGGGAACUUUCGUAUGCUAUGGGUGUGGCCCUAAAGAAAAAAAGAUAAGGAGUUCCCGUCCUGGCGCAGUGGUUAACGAAUCCGACUAGGAACCAUGAGGUUUCGGGUUCGGUCCCUGCGCUUGCUCAGUGGGUUAACGAUCCGGCGUUGCCGUGAGCUGUGGUGUAGGUUGCAGAUGCGGCUCGGAUCUGGUGUUGCUGUGGCUCUGGCAUAGACUGGUGGCUACAGCUCCAAUUAGACCCCUAGCCUGGGAACCUCCAUAUGCCGCGGGAGCGGCCCAAAGAAAUAGCAAAAAGACAAAAAAAGAAAAAAAAGAAAAAAA